GAAAAGAAUGGGAAAAGAAUGGGAAAAGAAUGGGAAAAGAAUGGGAAAAGAAUGGGAAAAGAAUGGGAAAAGAAUGGGAAAAGAAUGGGAAAAAAAUGGGAAAAGAAUGGGAAAAAAGAAGAAAAAAAAAAAGAGAGGGAUGAACUAUUGAAGAGAUGAAUUGCGCAAGGAUUGAGGAGACAAGAAAAUGGACUGAAUAGGUGAGUCUGAGUGUACACGCCUGAGUGGACAAGCCUGAGUGGACAAGACUGAGUGGGUGAAUGGUAUGUCGUUUUCUAUACUGCUAAUCACAAGAAAUGUUUUGACCACCAAUUAGAGGCCGUCAAUGACAUGGUUCAGUGAGGACUGAAGUCUGUGUCGUUGUGGUCUAGCUUGUGUCAGUUUCAGGGCUGUUUUGGGCAACUGUGACACGGUGUUGCUCUAGUUGUGACAUGGCAGGUAGUGUUACCGAAGUUGUGAUGGCAGUUGGCUAUUCAAAAGAAACUCACCAGACCGUGGAUGCCGUCAAUGCCUGUGCCCAGAUACGUUAGUAUGUUCACGUUAAACAAUCGACUUGGUCUUUUCUACUGAGCCACAUGACGACGAGUCGAUUCAUACGACCUCUUUGUCGAGUCAAUUCGCAUGUUAAGAGUCCGUGAUUAUGCCACGUCAGCCCCAAGACACCUCUACACUACUUUCACAUGCUCUCACGCUUUUGCUCACAUGCUCUGACUCCCUUUACCUAGGUGGUGGCGCGACAUGGUUCGAUUUCGAGCCUCGUGUCUUCGGCUGGACCCCCACUCUGCUCACAUGCUCACAGAUGCAUGGCGGACGGACUUCAUGUUGCAGAUCGACUUGGUACCAGUCUCAGUUUAGGGUUGUUUUUGGUUUUGGGCGCGUAUCGUGCACCCCAGAGCCAUACGGCUGCAGCUGCGGUAUGAUAUUGUACGACUGCUCAAGCAUAUACGGCUGCUCGUAUGCCCAUUCUGCAAUCCUGCGCGAGUCGUAUUCUGUUGGUGCGAGGUUAUGCGUCGACGGUUGAUAUUGGCUGUAUGGCUCCCGAGCUGCACCCCAGACUGCCGGCUCGGUGGAGAUUUGAGAUGCGAGAAGGUUGGAGGAUGGAGAUUGGGGUUCCGGGCUCUAAAGAGCUCCAGAGUCGGGAAAGAGUGAGCCUGCUGGUCGAUGCGGUGGUUGUCAAUGUGGUGGUGGCCGAUGCGAUGGUGGUCGAUGCGAUGGUCUACGUUGACCUUGGCUACUGCGAUUGUUUUCACUAAUUCCUUGUUCCGACAAAGUUGGUGGUCCUCCGAUAACCCAAUUUUUGUGGGGUAGAGGUGCGUUGGACCCGACCUGGUACCGAGGCAGAUACGAGGAAUCUCUGCCAACCAGCGGGUGACGAUACUCCAAGGCGGUUGAUUUCAAGUUUUCACAAUAUGUUUUUAGCAUUUCUUACCGACAAUGGAUUGUGUCGCGUCCACUACACACAAUGACUUGUUGAAAAUAAUGUCACGAAUUUAAAACAUUCUUUAUUGCAAACCUUGUGCAACAUGCAAGGUUGGAUGUUAUCAGUUUGGAUAUUUUGGCCGAUUUUCUUGUUGAUAGUUUUUGUCGAUAUUUUCGUGCAAAUAUUUCACACAAUAUUUCGGACAAUAUUUUGGUCUCACAUUUCGGCCCAAUAUUCUCGGAAAGGGGUCGGUCGGGAAAUUAUUGCGGGGAAGGCAUAAGAAAAAAAAUCGCGUGAUCAUCGGGUCACGUGAUAGUGGGAUCGGGAGGCGCUGGAUAGGACUGCACUGGGGUCCUACAGUUGAAUUGGUUCGGCUAGAACUUUUGCACACGGUUGUUAUUAUGGGAUGUGGCGGUUGGAUUCAAGGAGGGGUUU
rnacentral:misc_RNA from 1 species